GCCCGCUUGGUGGAAUUGGUAGACACAAGGGACUUAAAAUCCCUCGGCUUCGGCCGUGCCGGUUCGAUCCCGGCAGCGGGCACCA
rnacentral:tRNA from 1 species